rnacentral:rRNA from 1 species
CACGUAGGGUGCAAGCGUUGUCCGGAAUUAUUGGGCGUAAAGAGCUCGUAGGCGGUCUGUCGCGUCUGCUGUGAAAACUCGGGGCUUAACCCCGGCCUGCAGUGGGUACGGGCAGACUAGAGUGCGGUAGGGGAGACUGGAAUUCCUGGUGUAGCGGUGAAAUGCGUAGAUAUCAGGAGGAACACCGGUGGCGAAGGCGCACAUCUGGCCCGAUACUGACGCUGAGGCGCGAAAGCUAGGGGAGCAAACGGG